GCGGCGUGCCUAAUCAUGCAAGUUCAGCGAAUGGAUUGAGAGCUUGCUCUCAAGAAGUUAGCGGCGGACGGGUGAGUAACACGUGGGUAACCUGCCCAUAAGACUGGGAUAACUCCGGGAAACCGGGGCUAAUACCGGAUAACAUUUUGAACUGCAUGGUUCGAAAUUGAAAGGCGGCUUCGGCUGUCACUUAUGGAUGGACCCGCGUCGCAUUAGCUAGUUGGUGAGGUAACGGCUCACCAAGGCAACGAUGCGUAGCCGACCUGAGAGGGUGAUCGGCCACACUGGGACUGAGACACGGCCCAGACUCCUACGGGAGGCAGCAGUAGGGAAUCUUCCGCAAUGGACGAAAGUCUGACGGAGCAACGCCGCGUGAGUGAUGAAGGCUUUCGGGUCGUAAAACUCUGUUGUUAGGGAAGAACAAGUGCUAGUUGAAUAAGCUGGCACCUUGACGGUACCUAACCAGAAAGCCACGGCUAACUACGUGCCAGCAGCCGCGGUAAUACGUAGGUGGCAAGCGUUAUCCGGAAUUAUUGGGCGUAAAGCGCGCGCAGGUGGUUUCUUAAGUCUGAUGUGAAAGCCCACGGCUCAACCGUGGAGGGUCAUUGGAAACUGGGAGACUUGAGUGCAGAAGAGGAAAGUGGAAUUCCAUGUGUAGCGGUGAAAUGCGUAGAGAUAUGGAGGAACACCAGUGGCGAAGGCGACUUUCUGGUCUGUAACUGACACUGAGGCGCGAAAGCGUGGGGAGCAAACAGGAUAGAUACCCUGGUAGUCCACGCCGUAAACGAUGAGUGCUAAGUGUUAGAGG
rnacentral:rRNA from 1 species